ensembl:lncRNA
AUUUCUGAAUAAUGUUGUGUCUGAUGCUGUACUCUGUGGAGGCAGGGUUUCUCCUUCACCAAGCCAGGUGUUCUGUGGGGACAGGGUUUCUCCUUCACCAAGCCAGGUGAUCUGUGGGGACAGGGUUUCUCCUUCACCAAGCCAGGUGAUCUGUGGGGACAGGGUUUCUCCUUCACCAGGCCAGGUGUUCUGUGUGGACAGGGUUUCUCCUUCACCAGGCCAGGUGUUCUGUGGGGACAGGGUUUCUCCUUCACAAGGCCUGGUGAUCUGUGGGGACAGGAUGGAUGCGUGUCCCAGCUGUUCCAUUGGACUGAGAGAGAGUGUUUUUUUCCAUAAGUUUCCCCCAGAAUCCUCCUGCUCUACAACCACCAGCUCAGCCCAACUGGACCCAACUGGACCCCCUCAAGGUCCACAAGAUGGAGCUCAGUGAGUCUGCAGCAGAGGCCAUUCUGCAUCGUCUAGAGUCACUGAGGACAGAGGCUGCAGUGCUGCAGGAGCAGACACAGUCCCCAGAGGUGUGCAGCGCAGCCCGGACGCAGCCGAGUGUUAAGAUCCUGGAUCACAGCAAUGGCCAGGGGGACCUAGAAGAGGGCCAGCUGAUCACCGUGGCAACAAAGCCCCUGGUUCAGAGAUGUGUGUUCCAGGUGAGUGCUUUGUAGAUAAGUGUCUACUGGCGCUGAUACUGAGGUCCCCAUCUAUGUCUGGUUGUCCUGUGGAGAGCCCUACCUCCCCUUAGAUGGUGAGACAAACACAGUGGUGCAUGCAUGUGCUAAUGGGGAAUUCAUAUUAGGAAAUUGUACAUAAAUACACAUACAGUAAUGUCCCUUUUGCUACUACAGCACAUGUUCCAUCCUGGUUAUUCUUGUUCAGUUCUUUUCUUGCCUGUGGGUGAAUCCUAGCAGCAU